rnacentral:rRNA from 1 species
UGGUGGGGUGACUUGUCUGCUUAAUUGCGAUAACGAACGAGACCUUAACCUGCUAAAUAGCCCGCAUUGCUCCGGCAGUGCGCUGGCUUCUUAGAGGGACCUUUCGGCUCAAGCCGAAGGAAGUUUGAGGCAAUAACA